CCUGCGGCCGGGCGUCACCCACGCGUGGGGCGGGGGCGGCGGGACUCGGCCGGCAACGGCCGUCGAGGAAAUCGGGACCGAGGAGCGGCGGGGCGGCCGAGAUGAUAGCACAAAUCUCUAUCGGUGGAGCCUACAGCUGCAGACAAACCUUGAAGAAGGUCUCCUACAGCAGCAUGAAAGGCUGCUGACCAGAGGCCAUUAGAACAUGACUGGGAAGAGGAAGACUUGGCUGUGACUGGGCUGGUACCUUCACAGAAGGCCCUCGAACAACUGUUUAUUUCCAGAGUCUUCCCGGGUAACUCUGAAUGUAUUCCUCCUCUCAUGAAAGUAUAGCUACUUACAGUCUUGAGUCUAGGGGGAGAGAGGGAGUUGCAUGCUGACAUUUAAGUGCCCCUUUUUACUGUCUUGCCCUUCUUAUAAAAAAUGUCAUUUAAAAUUUAAAUUAUAACAUUAGUGAAAUCUUAUUAAAUUUAAUAUGAUUUAAAUUAAAAUAAAAUUGCUAAAAUCAUCAAGUUGUGCAGAAAAAAAAAUGCAUAAUAAAAAAUUAAAAUUAGAAAAGUCCUCAGGGAGGAGGGCCAUCAUAACCCUCUUUCCUUCUCUUCUACCCCACUUCUCCCAAAUGGCUAUAUUGUAUGCAGUCAAAUUCUUUAAGAACUCAUGCAGUUGAAAGAGGAAAAGACUUUUCUGUAUGCCAAUAAGUGCAAAAACAUGCGAUUGUAAAUGAAGAAAUUGAUAUGUAAAGGUUCAAUGAUUUGUUCAAAGAAUAAAUGAAGCUGGCAUUAGUCACUAUGUGUUGUUGCUUAUGUGCACAGAACUGGGCAUAUCUAUAUGGUGUUCAUAUUCUUAAACAAAUCGAUUGUUAGACAUUUAACAUGAACAGCUGCGAGUGAAAUAUUUUGUAUUUUAGAUUUUUGUGAAAAUCUGCAUACCACAGACUUCUAGAAUGCAAGCAGAAGAUAAUCCUUCUUCAGAAUUAGUCAUAACGACUGUGAAGAGAUCUGAAUUUUUACACUGCUCUUGCCCCUGUUGUGAGUUUCUGGUGGAUAAGCUGAUAGCUUCAGUUUUCAAAGAUGUCAGGCAAGCUCUUUUUUUGUACCAAUGGGUAACAGCAGUUGUUCUCUGGUAGCAAUUAUUAUCUUUCACAGCAUAUAAAGGCUUGAUGUGCUAUUAACUAAUCUUCUUGAGGUGAAAACUUCUUGUCCGUUUGUCUAAAGCUUUGAGUAUUUUACAGAAAAAUUCUCUAUCCAUCCAUUAUAAUGAAAAAAUACUUUGUCAGCAUUCUGUGAUGUGUUUUGAUUACCAGUUACCUUAUGACUACAUUAACAUCAAUAUAUUUUUUUUUCAAAACAGAUUUAAGAUUCUGCCUUUCAAAUCCUACUUGGUUAAAAAAAACAAACAAAAAAAAAAGUAGCAUCAUAAGGAAGGUCUGGCAUGCAUUUGAUACAACUCAGCUUAUGCAUUCUCACCAUCCAAUGUAUUGGCUUUACUAGGGAUUUGAUUUGGACCCAGAUUCAACACAGAUAUAUAAUGUGCACAGUAGCAUGUAGCUAUUUGCGAUGGACUACAUCAGGACUGUGGGUAAAUAGUUCUUAUGCUUUGAUAUGCAUGCUGAUGUCCCCAGUAAAAUUACUUUUUAAGCAACAUAUGGAGAAAGCGUGUUACCAUGAGUCAAAGUAUUGUAAAUAGUCUUACUAUUUAGUUCAAAAAUACUCAUUUCAAUAUAUUUUCAGUAUCCUCC
ensembl:lncRNA